CGUGUAGGCGGUUGGUCAAGUCUGGUGUGAAAGCCCGGGGCUCAGCUCCGGAAGGGCAUCGGAAACUAGCCAGCUGGAGCGCGAUAGAGGAGGGCGGAAUUCCUGGUGUAGCGGUGAAAUGCGUAGAUAUCAGGAGGAGCACCGGCGGCGAAGGCGGCCCUCUGGAUCGUUGCUGACGCUGAGACGCGAAAGCGUGGGGAGCAAACA
rnacentral:rRNA from 1 species